CCAAACCUACCCAUGCCCACACACACAACAAAAGAAAAAGCUAAGGAAACCCUAGCUGUCAGCACAUGCUCCCCACCCCAUCCACCACCGACGCCUGCAAGUGGCCUCUGCUCCACCACCGUUUGCCUGCAGCAACAACAGAAGAAUAGACAAAUAUUAAAAGAAAAAGAAAUGUAAUGGCUAUAAAAAAGCCAAAUCAAAAACCAUUGUAGGGGGUUCUUUUGGAAAAUAAAAAGCGAACAACAUUCGAUUUCAAGAAAAAACAGAGACUUUAGCAACAUCAAAAGCAGGGAAUAGCCCCAUAUCAGAGACCGGAGAGCCAAAAACAGCAAAUCUAAGGUCUAUUUUCUUUUUUUUUUCUUUUUGAAUUUAUUCACAUAUAUUAUCCCCAUUUUUAAUAAAACAAAACAUAUAUUAAAUAAAUAAAAAAUAUAAAAAGGAGAAAAAUCUACCCACGGGCAAUUUCCGGCCACCCUGUACGGUGGCCGGAGCGACGGCCGGCACGGCGGAUGACACGACGGCGACCGGCCCACUCCUCGCUGGAUUCUGGUACCUGCAGAGAGAGAAGAGAGGAUUAGAAGUUUUUU
rnacentral:lncRNA from 1 species